ACGGGGUGCAGCAGGCGCGAAGCCUUUGCAAUGUGCGCAAGCACGACAAGGUUAAUCCGAGUGUUUCCUGCUAAAGGAAUCUUUUGUUAGUCGUAAAACCACUGAUGAAUAAGGGGUGGGCAAGUUCUGGUGUCAGCCGCCGCGGUAAAACCAGCACCUCAAGUGGUCAGGAGGAUUAUUGGGCCUAAAGCAUCCGUAGCCGGCUCUGCAAGUUUUCGGUUAAAUCCAUUUGCUUAACAAAUGGGCUGCCGAAAAUACUACAUAGCUAGGGAGUGGGAGAGGUAGACGGUAUUCGGUAGGAAGGGGUAAAAUCCUUUGAUCUAUUGAGGACCACCUAUGGCGAAGGCAGUCUACCAGAACACGUUCGACGGUGAGGGAUGAAAGCUGGGGGAGCAAACCGGAUUAGAUACCCGGGUAGUCCCAGCUGUAAACGAUGCAGACUCGGUGAUGCGCUGGCUUGUGGCCAGUGCAGUGCCGCAGGGAAGCCGUUAAGUUUGCCGCCUGGGAAGUACGUACGCAAGUAUGAAACUUAAAGGAAUUGGCGGGGGAGCAC
rnacentral:rRNA from 2 species